GCAUAUCAAUAAGCGGAGGAAAAGAAACCAACAGGGAUUGCCCCAGUAACGGCGAGUGAAGCGGCAACAGCUCAAAUUUGAAAUCUGGCUCUCGGGCCCGAGUUGUAAUUUGUAGAGGAUGCUUUUGGUGAGGUGCCUUCCGAGUUCCCUGGAACGGGACGCCAUAGAGGGUGAGAGCCCCGUCUGGUUGGACACCGAUCCUCUGUAAAGCUCCUUCGACGAGUCGAGUAGUUUGGGAAUGCUGCUCUAAAUGGGAGGUAUAUGUCUUCUAAAGCUAAAUACCGGCCAGAGACCGAUAGCGCACAAGUAGAGUGAUCGAAAGAUGAAAAGAACUUUGAAAAGAGAGUUAAACAGUACGUGAAAUUGUUGAAAGGGAAGCGCUUGUGACCAGACUUGGGCUUGGUUGAUCAUCCGGGGUUCUCCCCGGUGCACUCUUCCGGCCCAGGCCAGCAUCAGUUCGCCCUGGGGGACAAAGGCUUCGGGAAUGUGGCUCUCUCCGGGGAGUGUUAUAGCCCGUUGCGUAAUACCCUGUGGCGGACUGAGGUUCGCGCAUUCGCAAGGAUGCUGGCGUAAUGGUCAUCAGUGACCCGUCUUGAAACACGGACCAAGGAGUCGUCUUCGUAUGCGAGUGUUCGGGUGUCAAACCCCUACGCGAAAUGAAAGUGAACGCAGGUGAGAGCUUCGGCGCAUCAUCGACCGAUCCUGAUGUUAUCGGAUGGAUUUGAGUAAGAGCAUACGGGGCCGGACCCGAAAGAAGGUGAACUAUGCCUGUGUAGGGUGAAGCCAGAGGAAACUCUGGUGGAGGCUCGCAGCGGUUCUGACGUGCAAAUCGAUCGUCAAACAUGGGCAUGGGGGCGAAAGACUAAUCGAACCUUCUAGUAGCUGGUUUCCGCCGA
rnacentral:rRNA from 1 species